rnacentral:rRNA from 1 species
AUUGAACGCUGGCGGCAUGCCUUACACAAGCAAGUCGAACGGCAGCACGGGUGCUUGCACCUGGUGGCGAGUGGCGAACGGGUGAGUAAUAUAUCGGAACGUACCUUAUUGUGGGGGAUAACGCAGCGAAAGCUGUGCUAAUACCGCAUAAUCCCUAAGGGGGAAAGCGGGGGACCGUAAGGCCUCGCGCAAUUAGAGCGGCCGAUACCUGAUUAGCUAGUUGGUGAGGGAAAGGCUCACCAAGGCAACGAUCAGUAGCUGGUCUGAGAGGACGAUCAGCCACACUGGGACUGAGACACGGCCCAGACUCCUACGGGAGGCAGCAGUGGGGAAUUUUGGACAAUGGGGGCAACCCUGAUCCAGCAAUGCCGCGUGAGUGAAGAAGGCCUUCGGGUUGUAAAGCUCUUUUGUCAGGGAAGAAACAGCAGCUCUAACACAGUAUGCGAAUGACGGUACCUGAAGAAUAAGCACCGGCUAACUACGUGCCAGCAGCCGCGGUAA